rnacentral:rRNA from 1 species
CGGUUUAAUKGGAGUCAACGCCGGAAUCUCACCGGGAGCGACAGCAGAGUGAAGGCCAGAUNAAAAGGUCUUGCCAGACANAGCUGAGAGGAGGUGCAUGGCCGUCGCCAGUUCGUGCCGUGAGGUGUCCUGUUAAGUCAGGCAACGAUCGAGACCCGCNUCCACUGUUGCUACUANNCUUUGUGCUGGGCACACUGUGGAGACCGCCACUGAUAAAGUGGAGGAAGGAGCGGGCCACGGCAGGUCAGUAUGCCCCGAAUCUCCCGGGCCACACGCNAGCUGCAAUGGCAGGUACAAUGAGUUCCNACCUCSAAAGGGGAAGGCAAUCUCSAAAGCCUGCCGUANUUGGGAUCGAGGGCUGUAACCCGUCCUCGUGAACNUGGAAUCCCUANUAAUCGCGUGUCAUUAGCGCGCGGUGA